GACGAACGCUGGCGGCGUGCCUAAUACAUGCAAGUCGAACGAACUCUGGUAUUGAUUGGUGCUUGCAUCAUGAUUUACAUUUGAGUGAGUGGCGAACUGGUGAGUAACACGUGGGAAACCUGCCCAGAAGCGGGGGAUAACACCUGGAAACAGAUGCUAAUACCGCAUAACAACUUGGACCGCAUGGUCCGAGUUUGAAAGAUGGCUUCGGCUAUCACUUUUGGAUGGUCCCGCGGCGUAUUAGCUAGAUGGUGGGGUAACGGCUCACCAUGGCAAUGAUACGUAGCCGACCUGAGAGGGUAAUCGGCCACAUUGGGACUGAGACACGGCCCAAACUCCUACGGGAGGCAGCAGUAGGGAAUCUUCCACAAUGGACGAAAGUCUGAUGGAGCAACGCCGCGUGAGUGAAGAAGGGUUUCGGCUCGUAAAACUCUGUUGUUAAAGAAGAACAUAUCUGAGAGUAACUGUUCAGGUAUUGACGGUAUUUAACCAGAAAGCCACGGCUAACUACGUGCCAGCAGCCGCGGUAAUACGUAGGUGGCAAGCGUUGUCCGGAUUUAUUGGGCGUAAAGCGAGCGCAGGCGGUUUUUUAAGUCUGAUGUGAAAGCCUUCGGCUCAACCGAAGAAGUGCAUCGGAAACUGGGAAACUUGAGUGCAGAAGAGGACAGUGGAACUCCAUGUGUAGCGGUGAAAUGCGUAGAUAUAUGGAAGAACACCAGUGGCGAAGGCGGCUGUCUGGUCUGUAACUGACGCUGAGGCUCGAAAGUAUGGGUAGCAAACAGGAUUAGAUACCCUGGUAGUCCAUACCGUAAACGAUGAAUGCUAAGUGUUGGAGGGUUUCCGCCCUUCAGUGCUGCAGCUAACGCAUUAAGCAUUCCGCCUGGGGAGUACGGCCGCAAGGCUGAAACUCAAAGGAAUUGACGGGGGCCCGCACAAGCGGUGGAGCAUGUGGUUUAAUUCGAAGCUACGCGAAGAACCUUACCAGGUCUUGACAUACUAUGCAAAUCUAAGAGAUUAGACGUUCCCUUCGGGGACAUGGAUACAGGUGGUGCAUGGUUGUCGUCAGCUCGUGUCGUGAGAUGUUGGGUUAAGUCCCGCAACGAGCGCAACCCUUAUUAUCAGUUGCCAGCAUUAAGUUGGGCACUCUGGUGAGACUGCCGGUGACAAACCGGAGGAAGGUGGGGAUGACGUCAAAUCAUCAUGCCCCUUAUGACCUGGGCUACACACGUGCUACAAUGGAUGGUACAACGAGUUGCGAACUCGCGAUAGUAAGCUAAUCUCUUAAAGCCAUUCUCAGUUCGGAUUGUAGGCUGCAACUCGCCUACAUGAAGUCGGAAUCGCUAGUAAUCGCGGAUCAGCAUGCCGCGGUGAAUACGUUCCCGGGCCUUGUACACACCGCCCGUCACACCAUGAGAGUUUGUAACACCCAAAGUCGGUGGGGUAACCUUUUAGGAACCAGCCGCCUAAGGUGGGACAGAUGAUUAGGGUG
rnacentral:rRNA from 2 species